rnacentral:lncRNA from 7 species
CUGUUACCUUUGGGUGUAGGGAGGAAUUUGGUAGAAUGUAGCAUAGGUGCCCCCAAAGGGCACCUAGCUGAUCAGCAAGCUGCUAGGGAAUGUUCUUCCCAGAGAGAAAUUGUUCUCUUCUGAGGUUGACAUCAAAGUUCCUGCCUUUGUUCUUGUUGAAAGCUUCCGCUUGUCUCAGUUAUAUAGUAAGUGUACUUUAUGGAAAUGGGCUAUGCUGACUAUAAAGCAUCUUAAGUUUACCAGGCAGACUGCUUUCUCUGAGAUGCUUUCCUUGAACCAGGAACAUUUCAUGCACAACAACAACAACAAAAAUGAUAAUUUCAAGGAACUACUAUGAAUGUGCCAGCAAUUACCAGAUAUGCCUGGAUUUGACUGGGGAGCAUCAAUUACUCACAACUUGGUCACACUCAGGAAAAGAGGAAGAGAAGUGGACUCAAUUUAUGGGAAGUUUCUAUGUGCAACUACCAUGAACAGGAAAUGAAUGGAAGAAUAGAAUCUCUAUCUGCAAAAAUGUAUCUUGGUUUACCUUCUAGAUCACAGUGACUGUAGCUCCAUAUAGAAAUGAUUUCCCCAAUACAUCUGAAAAGGAAACUUGAGAAGGAAAAGGAGUAGGUACAUGAUUUUUGGGCCAAAUGUCACAGAAUACUGUUGAUAAGAGACUUGGGAAAAAUUUUAGACAUCCUGUUGUCCUGAAGGUAAUGAAGUAUCAACGAGGAUCGACCGGUCGAAACUUUGGCUAGAGAGGAAAAAGAAUCUUUCAUUCAAAGCCCUAAGAUAUCUUUGCCAUUAAAAUUCAGCAUGCUUUCAGAAAACAGAUUGAAGAAGGAAUCAAGUACAGUUUUACGACUUCAUAAAUUUUACCAGUCUCUUUUAAGCUCUCUAUUAUUAUUCACUUUUCAAAGACAGUCUAUGGCGUUACAGACUAUCAAAGGAGCAGCCUGGAAAAAAGUAAGCUUUGAGUACCAAUUACUAGAAAGUGUUAUUACAAAAUACUUCUAUCAGUUGACUUAUCAAGACUCCAAAACAGAAAUUGAUUCAGAGAGGAUUGGAAUAUUUUCACCACAACAUUUACUGAUGAUAAAUCACCGGUCAGAAGUCCUUGGAGAAAACUUCUGUACCUAAAAUUGGUACACACAUCUGAGUACUGCGAUGCCUGUGGCUCAACUUGGCAGAAAAAUGUGUACUUAUAAUGCUACAACUUCUGAGUAAGUUGGGGUAAGUAAUACAUAGCUGUACACCUUGGAGUUCCAGGUAGUCUCUGAAUAAUGUCUUGUACUAUACACAACAGCAGAUGUCUCUAAAUGAGCUAUGUGGUAUCUUUCUGCUUGUCCCUUUUUUGGGGAGUGGAAGAGCAAAGUUCUGCUUGGCAAAUUAUUACAGGUUAAGAUU